CUAGUCCCUUCCAACCCCAACCAUUCUGUGAUUUCAAAAUGAGUUGAGGAGUGGCUGCUGUGUACUUUCCAAAUGAGUGCAGUGUGACAUCUGUGGCCCACAUGAACCUCACUCAGGCCAGCUGUUGGUACCCUGUCAGUGAAGCCAGGUCUGCCAUGCCCUUGCAUGAGGCUUUGGCUUCUUCAGCAAAAAAGGAGGCAGUGAAACAUGACCAAAAUGUUCCUGUUGACAUCUAGUGAUGAGAGUCACACAGCUAUGACUGCACCCUGCUUCGUUUCGACAUUUCCUCGUUAGCCUGAUGGGAACUCGCUAAAAGCUGCUGCCCCACGCUGCUUCCAUCCUCAGCAGGAAAGGAGAUGGUUUCACAGCCUGUGCAAGGGCCAGAGGCUG